rnacentral:lncRNA from 1 species
CGCGGGCCGACCUGGUUCUCCUCCCUUCCCACGGCUGCCUUAGUACAGAAUCUUAUAAGUCCUCCUGCUUCGGAGGCUACAAAUGGUGUUCCGAGGCCAGGGGAGUUUAAAGCUCGAUUUCACCCGCGCAGCCUCCAAUCCGGGGCAGUACAGGUCAGGGGUGGAAUACACGGGAAGACCCAGCCAGGCAGCCUGGGUAUCAUGCAGUCUGGAAAAGCCAAGCAGAGAAGUAGCAUCUGAACUGAGCCUCGAAGGAGCAUCACACCAAGGAGGAUGAGGGCCCAGCACGUCUGGCACACAGUGGACACUCAAAUGUUUUGAAUGAUUGAAUGAAACACAGCAUGUUCGCUGGCAGGGAACCAUUCCCCAUUAUAUUGUGAGCUGCUACAAGGCAGGGGAUACAGUAUGCCUUUCCUAUCCCCAGGUUUCACAUCCAUGGAUCCAACCAACUGUAG